rnacentral:rRNA from 1 species
UUUUCGGUUAAAUCCCAUGUGCUCAACGCAUGGGCUGCCGAAAAUACUGCAUAGCUAGGGAGUGGGAGAGGUAGACGGUACUCAAUAGGAAGGGGUAAAAUCCUUUGAUCUAUUGAUGACCACCUGUGGCGAAGGCGGUCUACCAGAACACGUUCGACGGUGGGGGAUGAAAGCUGGGGGAGCAAACCGGAUUAGAUACCCGGGUAGUCCCAGCUGUAAACGAUGCAGACUCGAUGAUGCAUUGGCAUAUAGCCAGUGCAGUGUCGCAGGGAAGCCGUUAAGUCUGCCGCCUGGGAAGUACGUACGCAAGUAUGAAACUUAAAGGAAUUGGCGGGGGAGCACCACAAGGGGUGAAGCCUGCGGUUCAAUUGGAGUCAACGCCAGAAAUCUUACCCGGAGAGACAGCAGAAUGAAGGUCAAGCUGAAGACUUUACCAGACAAGCUGAGAGGUGGUGCAUGGCCGUCGCCAGCUCGUGCCGUGAGAUGUCCUGUUAAGUCAGGUAACGAGCGAGAUCCUCGCCACUAGUUGCUAUCAUUAUUCUCAGGAAUAGUGGGGCGAAUUAGUGGGACUGCCGUUGUUAAAACGGAGGAAGGAGGGGGCUACGGCAGGUCAGUAUGCCCCGAAACUCUGGGGCCACACGCGGGCUGCAAUGGUAGCGACAAUGAGCUCCAAACUCGAAAGAGAGUGGCAAUCUCUAAACGCUACCACAGUUAUGACUGAGGGCUGUAACUCGCCCUCACGAAUAUGGAAUCCCUAGUAACCGCGUUCAUA